ensembl:lncRNA
GAAAGACAGAAAGAGAGAGUAAGGAGUGGAGAAAGACAGAAAGAGAGAGUAAGGAGUGGAGAAAGACAGAAAGAGAGAGUAAGGAGAGGAGAAAGAGAGAAAGAGAGAGUAAGGAGUGGAGAAAGAGAGAGUAAGGAGUGGAGAAAGACAGAAAGAGAGAGUAAGGAGUGGAGAAAGACAGAAAGAGAGAAGAGAGAAAGAGAGAAAGAGAGAGUAAGGAGUGGAGAAAGAGAGAGUAAGGAGUGGAGAAAGAGAGAAAGAGAGAGUAAGGAGAGGAGAAAGAGAGAGUAAGGAGUGGAGAAAGACAGAAAGAGAGAGUAAGGAGUGGAGAAAGACAGAUAGAGAGAGUAAGGAGUGGAGAAAGACAGAAAGAGAGAGUAAGGAGUGGAGAAAGAAAGAGUAAGGAGUGGAGAAAGACAGAAAGAGAGAGAAAGAGAG